UACGGAGGGUGCGAGCGUUGUCCGGAAUCAUUGGGCGUAAAGGGCGCGUAGGUGGCCUUCUAAGUUGAACGUGAAAUCCCCGGGCUCAACCCGGGAACUGCGUCCGAUACUGGAAGGCUUGAAUCCGGGAGAGGGAUGCGGAAUUCCAGGUGUAGCGGUGAAAUGCGUAGAUAUCUGGAGGAACACCGGUGGCGAAGGCGGCAUCCUGGACCGGCAUUGACGCGUGAGGCGCGAAAGCCAGGGGAGCAAAGCGGG
rnacentral:rRNA from 1 species